rnacentral:tRNA from 1 species
GUCCCCGUAGUUCAACGGAUAGAACAAGGGUUUCCUAAACCUUAGAUAGUGGUUCGAUUCCACUCGGGGAUGCCA